UCAUCGGUGGUUCAGUGGAGUAGAAUGCUCACCUGCCACGCGGGCGGCCCGGAUUCGAUUCCCCGGCCGAUGCA